UACGUAGGGAGCAAGCGUUGUCCGGAAUCAUUGGGCGUAAAGCGCGCGUAGGUGGCUUCAUAAGUCCGUUGUGAAAGUCAAAGGCUCAACCUUUGAAAGCCGAUGGAUACUGUGGAGCUAGAGUACGGAAGAGGCGAGUGGAAUUCCUGGUGUAGCGGUGGAAUGCGCAGAUAUCAGGAGGAACACCAAUAGCGAAGGCAGCUCGCUGGGACGUUACUGACACUAAGGCGCGAAAGCGUGGGUAGCAAACAGG
rnacentral:rRNA from 1 species